rnacentral:ncRNA from 1 species
ACAAUCUGGAGACAUCUGUGAAAAACAGAGGCCGAAGGGGCAUGACUAGACUCUCAGGCAAAAGGACAGACU